ensembl:snRNA U6 U6 spliceosomal RNA
GUGCUCAUUUCAGUAGCACUUAAACUAAAUUGGAAUGAUACAAAGAUUAGCAUGACCCCAGCGCACAGAUUACACGCAAAUUUAUGAAGCAUUUAAAGGAAAG